AGCUUGUGCCCCACGAGCUCCUCCAAAUUCCACCCAAGUUGCAACUGGAACAUCAAACGAGGGGUCCACUUGGUUAUAGAGUAGCUUUGCUGCUAUCGGUGAGUAAUUGUGGACUGUUUUUCAUCGAUUAAGGGUGCUUUGAAGAUUUUUCCCUCUGAGCUUUCGGGAUGUGCGACUGAGCUGCACGGCGGUCAGGCUACGCCCCAUCUCUUGUUUUUAUAACAAGCUGUCACCCUUCUAGCCAGCCCCACUCCUACUCCUCACCACGACCCCUAAGUCAGUGUAUAAGAAGUCCAUGACAUGCGCAUAUUGAAUAUAGCC